CCUACGGGUGGCUGCAGUGGGGAAUAUUGGACAAUGGGCGAAAGCCUGAUCCAGCCAUGCCGCGUGUGUGAAGAAGGUCUUCGGGUUGUAAAGCACUUUCAGUGGGGAAGAAAGCCUUGGGGCUAAUACCCUCGAGGAAGGACAUCACCCACAGAAGAAGCACCGGCUAACUCCGUGCCAGCAGCCGCGGUAAUACGGAGGGGGCGAGCGUUAAUCGGAAUUACUGGGCGUAAAGCGCGCGUAGGCGGUCUGAUAAGCCGGUUGUGAAAGCCCCGGGCUCAACCUGGGAACGGCAUCCGGAACUGUCAGGCUAGAGUGCAGGAGAGGAAGGUAGAAUUCCCGGUGUAGCGGUGAAAUGCGUAGAGAUCGGGAGGAAUACCAGUGGCGAAGGCGGCCUUCUGGACUGACACUGACGCUGAGGUGCGAAAGCGUGGGUAGCAAACAGGAUUAGAUACCCUAGUAGUC
rnacentral:rRNA from 1 species